rnacentral:rRNA from 1 species
AGCAGUCGCCACGGGAAUACGGAGGGGGCUAGCGUUGUUCGGAAUUACUGGGCGUAAAGCGUACGUAGGCGGCCUUGUAAGUUAGAGGUGAAAGCCCGGAGCUCAACUCCGGAAUUGCCUUUGAGACUGGAUCACUUGAACGUCGGAGAGGUGAGUGGAAUUCCGAGUGUAGAGGUGAAAUUCGUAGAUAUUCGGAAGAACACCAGUGGCGAAGGCGGCUCACUGGACGACUGUUGACGCUGAGGUGCGAAAGCGUGGGGAGCAAACAGGAUUAGAUACCCCGGUAGUCCCUGUCUCUUAUAC